GUGUUCGCUUCCACAGCACAUAUACUAAAAUUGGAACAAUACAGAGAUUAGCAUGACCCCUGCACAAGGAUGACAUGCAAAUUCACGAAGCAUUCCAUAUUUGG